AACAGGAAGGACGACGACAACAACAACAGCAGCGGUUCGUCCCUUCCACACGUCUAACUCCACACAUCGACAUCCGGCGAGGAGAACCUGCCUGUACAUUUCUACUGAGGAGCUGCCUGCCAGCUGGCCAGCUGACGUUAAUGAUAGAAAUGAUGUACAUUUACAAACAGGCAGAAAAGAGCCCGGGGAAAUACUAACACCCUGGACCAAGCACAAAGUGGUGUGGGUUAAACGUUGCAUUUUUGAAGAGAUGCUUUCAGCCCCUGCAAAUGGACCUAUUAACACCGUGAACCGUCCCUGA